CUGCCCUGUGCCUCGCUCAGCUUGGUAUUUAUUACCAGGCUUUGAGCUGGAUACUGAUUUCAAUUGAUCUCAGUAAUGGGCUAGAAUAGAACACCUGUUGAGUACGCCUCAAGAUUCAGUGACUGAUGGCGUAAUUAGAUGGUGAUACAUUC
rnacentral:snoRNA from 1 species